GAGCCGGAGGGAAACCGAGUCUUAAUUGGGCGUUAAGUUGCAGGGUAUAGACCCGAAACCCGGUGAUCUAGCCAUGGGCAGGUUGAAGGUUGGGUAACACUAACUGGAGGACCGAACCGACUAAUGUUGAAAAAUUAGCGGAUGACCUGUGGCUGGGGGUGAAAGGCCAAUCAAACCGGGAGAUAGCUGGUUCUCCCCGAAAGCUAUUUAGGUAGCGCCUCGUGAAUUCAUCUCCGGGGGUAGAGCACUGUUUCGGCUAGGGGGCCAUCCCGGCUUACCAACCCGAUGCAAACUGCGAAUACCGGAGAAUGUUAUCACGGGAGACACACGGCGGGUGCUAACGUCCGUCGUGAAGAGGGAAACAACCCAGACCGCCAGCUAAGGUCCCAAAGUCAUGGUUAAGUGGGAAACGAUGUGGGAAGGCCCAGACAGCCAGGAUGUUGGCUUAGAAGCAGCCAUCAUUUAAAGAAAGCGUAAUAGCUCACUGGUCGAGUCGGCCUGCGCGGAAGAUGUAACGGGGCUAAACCAUGCACCGAAGCUGCGGCAGCGACGCUGAUGCGUUGUUGGGUAGGGGAGCGUUCUGUAAGCCUGCGAAGGUGGCCUGUGAGGGUUGCUGGAGGUAUCAGAAGUGCGAAUGCUGACAUAAGUAACGAUAAAGCGGGUGAAAAGCCCGCUCGCCGGAAGACCAAGGGUUCCUGUCCAACGUUAAUCGGGGCAGGGUGAGUCGACCCCUAAGGCGAGGCCGAAAGGCGUAGUCGAUGGGAAACGGGUUAAUAUUCCCGUACUUGGUGUUACUGCGAAGGGGGGACGGAGAAGGCUAUGUUGGCCGGGCGACGGUUGUCCCGGUUUAAGCGUGUAGGUGUGUGUUCCAGGUAAAUCCGGUUCACUUUAACACUGAGGCGUGAUGACGAGGCACUACGGUGCUGAAGCAACAAAUGCCCUGCUUCCAGGAAAAGCCUCUAAGCAUCAGGUAACAUCAAAUCGUACCCCAAACCGACACAGGUGGUCAGGUAGAGAAUACCAAGGCGCUUGAGAGAACUCGGGUGAAGGAACUAGGCAAAAUGGUGCCGUAACUUCGGGAGAAGGCACGCUGACACGUAGGUGAAGUGAUUUACUCAUGGAGCUGAAGUCAGUCGAAGAUACCAGCUGGCUGCAACUGUUUAUUAAAAACACAGCACUGUGCAAACACGAAAGUGGACGUAUACGGUGUGACGCCUGCCCGGUGCCGGAAGGUUAAUUGAUGGGGUCAGCGCAAGCGAAGCUCCUGAUCGAAGCCCCGGUAAACGGCGGCCGUAACUAUAACGGUCCUAAGGUAGCGAAAUUCCUUGUCGGGUAAGUUCCGACCUGCACGAAUGGCGUAAUGAUGGCCAGGCUGUCUCCACCCGAGACUCAGUGAAAUUGAACUCGCUGUGAAGAUGCAGUGUACCCGCGGCAAGACGGAAAGACCCCGUGAACCUUUACUAUAGCUUGACACUGAACAUUGAGCCUUGAUGUGUAGGAUAGGUGGGAGGCUUUGAAGUGUGGACGCCAGUCUGCAUGGAGCCGACCUUGAAAUACCACCCUUUAAUGUUUGAUGUUCUAACGUGGACCCGUGAUCCGGGUUGCGGACAGUGUCUGGUGGGUAGUUUGACUGGGGCGGUCUCCUCCUAAAGAGUAACGGAGGAGCACGAAGGUUGGCUAAUCCUGGUCGGACAUCAGGAGGUUAGUGCAAUGGCAUAAGCCAGCUUGACUGCGAGCGUGACGGCGCGAGCAGGUGCGAAAGCAGGUCAUAGUGAUCCGGUGGUUCUGAAUGGAAGGGCCAUCGCUCAACGGAUAAAAGGUACUCCGGGGAUAACAGGCUGAUACCGCCCAAGAGUUCAUAUCGACGGCGGUGUUUGGCACCUCGAUGUCGGCUCAUCACAUCCUGGGGCUGAAGUAGGUCCCAAGGGUAUGGCUGUUCGCCAUUUAAAGUGGUACGCGAGCUGGGUUUAGAACGUCGUGAGACAGUUCGGUCCCUAUCUGCCGUGGGCGCUGGAGAACUGAGGGGGGCUGCUCCUAGUACGAGAGGACCGGAGUGGACGCAUCACUGGUGUUCGGGUUGUCAUGCCAAUGGCACUGCCCGGUAGCUAAAUGCGGAAGAGAUAAGUGCUGAAAGCAUCUAAGCACGAAACUUGCCCCGA
rnacentral:rRNA from 1 species